GAAAUGCUGUGACAAUAAAUCGUUCGAAUCGUUUUCUCCGUCUCAUACCCUUCAUUGUCUUCCGAGCUCAAAACGGCAACGGCAUGCCCUUGACGAGGAGCUUCCCCCGCUUUCUCUCUCUACAAACUUCGCUCUACUUUCUCUCUGUCAAACGAUCUCUUCCCUAUCUCUCUCCACUUACCAACGAGAAGCCUCUCACUCUCUCACUAUCAGUUGCUGCCUCUGCUAUGGAUUCCCAAUCGCCUUGUGUUCUGGUGCUAUGUGGAAAAUCAUCUACCGAUAAUGAAUUGGCGAAAUCUUUGAAGAACAAUAACACUUUGAAACUCCCUGACAUUGCCGAUGUUUCGAUUCUAUUGCAUUCGGAGAGUGGAAUGACUUCCGAAGGAGAAGGAGAAGGAGAAGGAGAAGGAGAAGGAGAGAGUUUUCGGAUCAAUUUGUUCUUGAAUUCUCUUUCAACUACUCGCUUUGGAAGGUUCCUGAUUUGGUCCCCUCGGUUGUCAUCGACACAUGACGUAGUUUCUCACAAUUUCUGCGAAAUUCCAAUUGGCGCUGUUUGUGUUGCUGAUGCUCAGUUCAAAGGGCGAGGUCGGUCAAAGAAUGCGUGGGAAUCUCCAAAAGGUUGCCUUCUAUUUUCAUUUACAAUACAGAUGGAAGAUGGGCGAGUGGUGCCUCUUGUACAGUAUGUAGUGUCUCUUGCCAUGACAGAGGCAAUAAAAGAUGUCUGUGUGACAAAUGGUAUACCACCUCUUGAAGUUAGAAUAAAGUGGCCAAAUGACCUGUACUUAAAUGGCCUUAAAGUGGGAGGCAUUUUGUGCACUUCAGUCUAUAAAUCAAAGAAGUUUAAUGUCAGUGCUGGAAUAGGCUUGAAUAUUGAUAAUGAGAAACCUACAACUUGCUUGAAUGCAGUGCUGAAAAAAUUGACUUCUGUUGCUUAUCAACUACAGAGAGAAGAUAUUCUUGCAGCCUUUUUUAAUAAAUUUGAGAAUCUUUUUGAUAUUCUUAUUAACAAAGGGUUUCAACCUCUUGAGGAGCUGUACUAUGAGACAUGGCUGCAUAGUGGGCAGAGAGUUAUUGUGCAGGAAAAUAAUGCUGAUCAAAUUGUAGAAAAAGUGGUUACCAUUCAGGGUUUAACAUCCUCGGGAUAUUUAUUAGCUCUUGGUGAAGACAAUCAAAUGUGCGAGCUUCAUCCAGACGGCAAUAGUUUUGACUUCUUCAAAGGACUAGUGAGGAGAAAAUUGACCUAAAAAAGAUUCCGGAGCACAACCUUUUGUUGGAGGCAACAAUCAUGCAUCACCAUGUGCAUAACUAAGGAUACGUUCACAUCUAUUCAUACAUCCAUUACUCCAUAAUCAAUGAGGAUGGCUUUGGGUCUGCCGUCGGUAAUGCAAUUGCUAGGCCUGAGGUUGGAAAAUGUUUGGUGUGGAGAGAGGAGAUAAAUACUAAGCUGUUUGGAUGAAGAGGAACUGUGUUGUGGAGUUGAGAAGACCUAGCACCUGUCAAAGAAUGAAGGAAGAAGAACUGCAGUGGAGUUGGUCGGCAAGAAGAAGCUGGAACGUUGGUCAUCGAAGGUAUAAAGGAGAGAGACAGAGAGGGGGGUAUAUGCAGAGUUUUUUUUAGAUGGGUGUAUAUGCUGAGUUUGGGUGAGAGAGUAAACCGUGUUUCAAUUUCACCUUUUAGAUCUCCAAUGCCCUCUACAAAUAGGUGUAGGCUGUAAUUAUUUUCUUAGGAAUAAAACAAUAAACAGUGGUGUAGAUUAACAAAUAUUAUAA